UACGUAGGGGGCAAGCGUUGUCCGGAUUUAUUGGGCGUAAAGAGCGUGUAGGCGGUCAGGUAGGUCCGUUGUGAAAACUCGAGGCUCAACCUCGAGACGCCGAUGGAAACCAUCUGACUAGAGUCCGGAAGAGGAGAGUGGAAUUCCUGGUGUAGCGGUGAAAUGCGCAGAUAUCAGGAAGAACACCCGUGGCUAAGGCGGCUCUCUAGUACGGUACUGACGCUGAGACGUGAAAGCGUGGGGAGCGAACAGG
rnacentral:rRNA from 1 species